CUCGUCAUUUUCUCUCUCCCCGAUUUUCUCUCCCUCUUCCCCCGCGUCGCCCUCUUUCCUUCUUUUUCCGAUUUCUUCACCGUCCGGCGUCCGAUUGACGUGAUUCCAGUUGUCCUUGGACCGUCUCUUCCUCCUCUACACGAUGGUACCAGUGGGUAUCGGCGAUUUGGCCGGCAAACCCCGAAUUUAUGCAAGCAUUGUUACUGUAGCAGUUUGCUUCUCCGGCGAAAUUCUCCAGUUUCCGGCUAUCUUCGGCGGUGAAAUUGGCUCUAUUAGGAGCGCCUCGGGUCACUGAUCAUCUUCCCUCAAGACUUCUAGUUGGAAUUUCCACGUUUGGAAGGUGAAUUUGAAGGAUUUCCAAAUUUGUGGGUUUGGAGAUUUCCGGGUUUGUGUUCAUCGGCAAAAUUGGAGCAUUUCAAGGGCGAUAUACCGAACUAUUGCUCGAUGAAGGAACUCGUAUGCGUGAUCGCCUAAAUAGUACUUUUGCAGGCCAGUUUAGCUUGAGGUCGAGCGUACUUGGGGUUGAGGCAUAGCUGUCAUAGCUUCCGCAUUAUAAAAGCAUCGGUCAUUUAUCUUGCUUUCUAUUCUCUUGUUCGCCUGUACAUUAGAUUGCUCUGAUAACCUAUGAGAUUAAUAUUCUUAAAUUCAGAAUUGUUUAUGAAAUGAGAUAUGUGAGAUGUUGUGAUAUAGGGAGCAGGGUGGCUCCAGGAGAAUAAGGAUGGAUGAUUUAGAAGUGUGGAUGUUUUUCUACAGGUUUUGGGUUGUCCAUUUUUAGGGGAAGUUCUGUCAAAUUUUUGGUAGAAUUUCUUCUAAAGUGGGCCCCGCAGGGCCUCUUCGGAUUUCACCCAUCCGGGGCGGGUCCUGUCAACACACACCAAUCCCAAGGAAAAUCUUUCAACUCAAGGAACUGAAACACACACCAUGAUUCCAUAAAAACCAACAUUAUUUUCCCAAAGAAACAACACAAACUUAGCGCACAAUUCAAAAAACGCACUUAUACGAAGAUCCAGUGGUCGGAUCUUCACCCGUGACCACACAAAGUCAUCGGGACAGUCCUACGAUCAUUAUAUCAAAACUACAAGUCUAUCGGACGGUCCGAUCUUCACAGAUCAUAAAUCGAACGAUCAAAAUCGAUCAAAACGUAAAAAUUCAUAACCUAAUCAUACGAUAUCCAAAAAUUACGUAUAAUAUAUCGAAAUGAUCGCCUUAACAUGUAGAACAUAUAAAUGGGCAGAAACUGUCCUUAAGGUUCCCGGAGGUGGCCGGAAAAGGCCGCCGGAGUUAGUGGCAGAGCCGCCGCCGACCACCGCCAAUGGUGUCGGGGACGGGCUGCUCCUCUUCAUCUUAUCAUGCUUAACAAAAAAAUCUAAAGGCAUGCUAUCAGAAAACAUCAAGAAGAGGUCGAAAAUUACCAAACUCAGUCACGGUGGCCGAAAUUUGUCCAGAAUCCGGCGAAAGCUCCGAUCAGCGUGAAAACGUCCCCUACUCGCUUCGAUCCCUUCUGGAGACUUGUUCAGAAACCCAAGGCGAGUUCAUCAAGCCAAGAAUCACAAAGAAAGAUUGCCGGAAACUCGAGAUAUCGGCGUUGACUCAAAAUCGAACUCAAAUCGGUUUCAAGCUCCUCCGCCGCAUAGCGGCCGUUUGGGGAGGAAGGAGACCACCAGUCCACUCUUUGGGAGGAGGCGAACUAAUCGGGGCUUUUUUUCACGUCAAAAGCUCGCCUGAGGAGGGAGAAAUCGCCCGGAGAAGUUGGAGGCGAUUUCCGGCCAAGAGAGGGAGAGAGACUCCGGUUUCCAAAAUUGGAAACUGAUUUUCUUUUUUUGGAAAUUUCCAAAAAUGGAAGCUUUAUACCAAAUUGGAAGGUUUUUCCGAAGCCCAUAAAGUUUUCAUACGAACUCCGAUUCUCGCCUUCCACAUGUCUACGAACUCGUAUCGACGCGUUCUACAACUUUCAUGAAGAAAGUUUUCCAAAAUUCCAAAAGUAUAAAAAGUCAACUCCUUUGACCCCCCUAAAACGUUCAGUUUUCGAUAAAAACUCGUCCAAACCACUUUCGCUCCAACCUCGAACCACAAAAUUGUAAUAAAUGAUACUUUAUUAAUUCUCGGAAUUUCAAGAAAUUUGUAACGAAUUUUUGGGGUAUUACAAAUAGCUUGUUGAUACUUUAUGUCAGGUGAAGUUAUGUUUAACCAUUUAAGGAACUGGAAUCAGUUAUCUUGCGUAUAUUUCUAAACUUAUAUAGUUUUAUAGUUGAGUCUAAAUGUGUGGAUCAACCGUAAGUUAUCUCAUGGUUUGGAGAAGCUACUUUAGUUCACAGAAUGUUUAGUGAAGUGUGCAUUUUGUAGAAUUGGUUUGGAUAAGCUAUGUAAGUUCACUGAGAGUUAUGGUCUUUAUUAUUUGUCAAAAGUCUGGAGUUGAUAAUCUUUUUUUUUUUUUUUUUAGUGCAUGUGACAAAACAUUUUUAAUGUGGAGUUGUGGAGGUUUAUCAGCUUUGUAUUAAUAUAUACCCUAUUGGUUCUAAUUACUGCCAUGAUAAUGCAUCAGGAGUUAGCUGUAGAUUUUUUACUUGUUAAUUGUAUCUUUAAGUUGACAUAUGUUGGCAGUCCAGAACCAUAAGGGAUGAAGGGAACUCUAGCUUUGUCCCUUGUGAUUCUUUAGAUCCUAUGAAUGAAUUUGUUUCUACUUUGUUUAAUAGACAUGUACUUUAGUAAGUGAAUUUGAAAUUCACUCGCAUCUUUUCACAUUGCAAAGUUGAAUUUUUUUUCAAAAAAGAAAAAAGUAAAAUUGAACAGUCAUUCUGUUGACGUCUGUGUUGAUGGAGGAUGUAUGGCUCGGCUCUGUGCAUCGUGACAAAAUUUAGUAUAAUAUAUUUCUUCUC